GAAGAUUGAAACAAACAUGG
rnacentral:miRNA from 1 species